GCGGAGUUCGUCGAUGAGAAAGUCAGCACGAGCGAUUCGAUGCCGUUGGGGGCGGUCAGAUUCAGCGCGAAGGGCUCGGUGCACUUGCCGUCGGCGUCGAACAUCGAGGAGGUGAUCCGGAACGGUUCCGUGAAAAAAGGUUCCGUCCUGUUUUGGGAUGAACCGGAAAUGAAUCUGAACGCCUCCCACCUGCCCGUGCUGGUGAAAACCCUGACGGGGCUUGCCAAGACGGGGGUACAGGUUAUUUUGUCCUCCCACAGCCUGUUCCUGCUGCGGGAGCUGAUGAUUCAGCUUUCCGAACCCCGCAAUGCCAUGGUGCAGAGAAAGUUUUUCGGGAUGAGCGUGCCGCGGGGGGAACGUUCCGGGGUAAGGGUGUCCUGGGGGGAAUCCCUGGAGGACGUGGGACCUAUCGAGUCUCUUGAAGCGGAAAUCGAACAGGCGGACAGGUAUUUGAAGCUGAGUUAUGAGUCAUAAGCCGUCAAAAGCUUAUUACGUGGAGGGCGUCCACCGUUUCUGGAUCGAUGAAGGCUACGUGGUGUGCCGCAUUGAAUGUUCGGAUUAUUAUGCCCGGCAGGCGCAGAAUUUCUGCGGGGGAUGCAAGGAAAUGGAUUUUCUGCUGUAUCAUCCGGAACGCCGGGAUCUGUGGCUGGUGGAAGUGAAGGAUUACCGUUUUGACGCCCGGCCCAAGGUGGGGGAACUGGUCUGCGCCCUGAGCCGCAAGGUCCGGGAUACGAUGUUCCUCCUCCGGGCCGCUUCCGUGGCCGCUCCGGACGAGGAGCCGGCGGAGGGCAUUUCCCUGAGGGAUUUUUCCAUUCAGGCCUCGGGAGCGGAGACGCUGCAUCUGGGUGAAACGAGUUGGGCACUGUCUCAACCAGGCGCUCAGUGAAAUUGUAGUGGCGGUGAAGAUGCCGCCUACCCGCAGAAGGACGGAAAGACCCUAUAGACCUUAACUGUAAGCUGUCAUUGUUUCUUCGGUUUUAAUGCUCAGAGUAAGUGGGAGACGCUGAAGACGCCCUUUAGGGGGCGUCCGAGUCAUCAAUGAGACACCACCCUUUGAAACUGGAGGAUCUAACCCUGAGCCGUGAAUCCGGCCAGAGGACCGUGUCAGCCGGUCAGUUUUACUGGGGCGGUAUCCUCCCAAAGAGUAACGGAGGAGCGCGAAGGUGGGCUCAGCCCGGUUGGCAACCGGGUGUCGAGUGCAUGGGCAUAAGCCCGCCUAACUGUGAGACCAACAAGUCGAGCAGAUGCGAAAGCAGGCCCAAGUGAUCCGGCGGUAGAAAGUGGAAUUGCCGUCGCUCAACGGAUAAAAGGUACCUUAGGGAUAACAGGCUGAUCACGCCCAAGAGUUCAUAUCGACGGCGUGGUUUGGCACCUCGAUGUCGGCUCGUCGCAUCCUGGGGCUGGAGAAGGUCCCAAGGGUCCGGCUGUUCGCCGGUUAAAGCGGCACGCGAGCUGGGUUCAGAACGUCGCGAGACAGUUCGGUCCUCUAUCCUCUGUGGGCGUUGGAAAAUUGAGGGGUUCAGACCUUAGUACGAGAGGACCGGGUCUGACGCACCACUGGUGCAUCGGUUGUAUUGUCAAGUGCAUGGCCGAGUAGCUAAGUGCGGACGGGAUAAGCGCUGAAAGCAUCUAAGCGCCAAGCCCUUCCCAAGAUGAGUUUUCCCUACAGGUUCGUGGAAGACCACCACGUUGAUAGGUCGCAGGUGUAAGUGCAGCAAUGUAUUGAGCCGAGCGAUACUAAUUACCAAUUGACUUCAUC
rnacentral:rRNA from 1 species